ACUGUGCCGAAAUAUCUGGAGCUAAAACAAUUCAAUCGUGUCAUUGCCUGAUCUGGUCCACCUUCAAGUCUAGACCGAAAAUACUACUGGAUCUAAUUGAUGUCUAGGUGAUUCUGUGACAUUAAAAUUUAUCUAUAAACUGGCUUUCGCCCGCGACUCCGUCCGCAUGGAAUUAAAAAAUAAAAGGAAAUAUCACUAAUUCCUGUCGGCUGCUGGGGGUGGCUGGGGGUGGCUGCGGGGUAGAAGCAAGAAGGGGAAGUCCGAUCCAUCACCGCCGCUGUCACAUGCCAUUAGCCAGGCCUACAGAGUACGGCGCAGAGAAAGUACUAACCAGACGAAAUGUGUAAAGAUAAUAAAAAGGACUUUUAUGUAAAAAGAUUAACAUUAGUCCAUAAAUAAAAAGAUACAAGUCAAUUGGUAUUGCACAUAGAAAUAAUUAUGAUAAAAAGUUUAUUUGUUUUUGUAGACCUUGUGACAGUUUUUUUUAUUUAGUCUUUGCGACAAUGCUGUU